UCACUGAGGGUGCUCAUUCUGUGUGU
rnacentral:piRNA from 1 species